AUAUAUUUUCUAUUUUUCAAAGAAAAAAAAAACAAGCUCAUCAUUGCAGUAGUGGAAAAUUGAAAAUAUAUAUGCUUCCUCGUCUUCUUCUUCCAACAACCUACCGCCAGGAAACGAAGAGAUCUAAGUGAAAGAUUGAAAGAUAGAUGGGCCUACAAAUUACUACAGACAAAAAGAUUUAUCAAUGCCGCACAUCGGCAAGUUAACGAAGAAUAUUGAUGAUUCUUGAUCUAGUAUCCGGUAAAGAACAUAGGAAGAAUGGACUUCUGCUCGGCGCCAACUGCCAAGUCAUCAUUCGAGAGUCAAUACAAAGAUCAAUAUAAGGGGCAAGGGUGUAGUCGACUUGUUUUAUCGGCAAAAACCAUCGGCAAGCUUCAGCAAUUUGACAAAACUAUAACACGUGUAUCGGCAACUUUUGGCAAGGUAUAUCGACUAAUUUUGACCGAUGGAAGUGAACGUUGAGGCCUGACAUGUGAAUGUUGGGAGCGUGUUUUUUUUAUUUGGUCAAAAGUGACCGCUUGGCAAGAAUUGACACAAAUUGGCAAAAAAUGACACUACACCCUCAACAUUGGCAAGAAUCGGCUAGGAUUGACAAGUUUUUGGCUAAAUUCAUGUGUCAAGCUCCUAAUUGUUAGUUUUUUGCCAAAACUUGUCAAAUUGCCAAAACAUUGGCACUACAUCCUUGCCCCUAAGUAUCAAUAUCAUUAUAUAAUCGUCUUUUGCAUUAAUCUAACAAAUUCUUUUUACAA